rnacentral:rRNA from 1 species
GUCUAAGGCCAUAUCACCCGGAACGCGCCGAAUCUCGUCUGAUCUCGGAAGCUAAGCAGGGUCGGGCCUGGUUAGUACUUGGAUGGGAGAAACUGUUUAUUGACU